rnacentral:rRNA from 1 species
AAUAAGCUAUUUAAGAGCGUAAGGUGGAUGCCUUGGCUCUCAGAGGCGAUGAAGGACGUGAUAAGCUGCGAUAAGCUACGGGGAUUGGCACACACAAUUUGAUCCAUAGAUUUCCGAAUGGGGCGACCCACUAUAUUGAAGAUAUAGUAUCCGUUAAGGAAGCAAACCCAGGGAACUGAAACAUCUAAGUACCUGGAGGAAUAGAAAACAAAAGUGAUUCCGCUAGUAGUGGCGAGCGAACGCGGAACAGCCCAAACCAAAAUUGUUUCGGCAAUUUUGGGGUUGUAGGACCACGACAUUGAAUGUUUAAUGAA